UACAUCAUCAAAAAUAUGGGGACUAGCUAGGGAAAUGGUCUCUCGAGCAAGAGUAUGAGCGACCACAUUCGCUUGUCUCCGACUAAACUUCACCUUAGAGUUUUCAAAACAAUCAUUGCAAUUCUUCCUACAUUCAUCCAUUAUAGCUCCAAACUCGGAUAUAUCAUUCCCGCCCUUAUUGAAAUAAUCCACAACUUUCUUGGCAUCCAACUCAAAAUCUACAUUCGAAAGUUGUAAUUCUCGCACCCAUUGCAUAGCAUGGUAAAGACCCAAUGCUUCGCCUACAUCCGAAGAGCAAACGGGAAUCGACCACAAUGUUUUAGCUUUGAUAAAAUUCUUGUAUUCAUC
rnacentral:lncRNA from 1 species